ACUGCAUUCAAACACAGUAUAUUAGAAUCACAAAAGAUUUAAAUAAUUUUAUUACAAAUGGAAACACGCACACCAGCGCACACACAUCUGUACUUUACGAAUAUCAAAUAUAUUUAGAUACAUUUUUAGACAACAAACUCCAUGUUAUCAACAAGAAAUAAAAUCUGGAAUAGUUACAUUUCUUCCAAUUCAAGUCAUGGAUGUAAUUGGAUAUGAUUUAAACACCACAUUGAUUUAUGGAACGACGCUGAGAAAUAAUUUUAUAGAAGUGAAUCUUAAUAAAAAAAAAGCGAUUAUUAUAUCAAAUGAAAAGUGUUCAAGUAUAAAAGCGUGUAACCAACUUGGGGAUUCAAAAUAAUUUAGAAUGCAAAGAAUGUCAUUUAUCUUUAAAUGAUAAAUAACAAAUAUGGGUUGAAAACCACAUUAAACUUUUCAUUUCCUUUUUUUUUGAAAUGCACAUUAAACAUAAAAAAUAGUCUAAAAAGGAUUUUUGUUUAAGUUUAUCAGUAAUCUUUUUUGUAAAAAUUAUUUUUAUAUUUUUUAAAGUAAUAUUG